rnacentral:tRNA from 1 species
CUAAUGUUGGCAGAACAAUGCAAAGGAAAUAAACUCCUUCUUAUAAAUUUUAUUUACUUUAGA